AGCUUUGAGCAGUGGCAGUAUCGUAGCCAAUGAGGUUUAUCCGAGGCGCGAUUAUUGCUAAUUGGAAUCAUGUAGAGUAUCUUUUCUAUACUAUACAGCUGUUGAAUUAGAAAUCAACAACAAAAAUAUGUGAAAAAAACUUAUGUUU